UGCCCUAAUAAGCUAAAUGGCCAGCAAUUAA
rnacentral:tRNA from 1 species